rnacentral:lncRNA from 1 species
UUCUUUUUCAUUCCUCCUAGGAUAGAGUAUUCAUAUAAAUAUAAUAUGAAUAUAAUAAAAAAAUCAGAAAAUAAAAUAUCAUAUAAUAUUUCAGGAGCAAUACCCUAAUCAGUCUAUAAAACCUUAUCUGAAUGCGCCGCUAUAAAGGAUGCGGCCUAAUCAAUGGCAUUGUACAUCUCCUUGUAGACGUGCCAAAUAACCACAAAUGCGCUCCCUCUUAACAAUCUUGAAAUAUUAGCCAGCAAUGGAUAUGCAAGGCUCUUCCUCGAGAGUCCUCGCAUCCAACUCACCGUCACGAUCAAGUCUCUCUCGAUGAGAAGGAAGUUGGCCCCA